rnacentral:rRNA from 1 species
GUGGGCCCUCGAAAUCCGUUGGCGGGGGAUUCAGUCGGGAGGUGCGGGCUCGUGCGCCGGUCGUUUUCUCGGACCCAUGACUGGGCCGGGCCGGCGUCGCAGUCUCCGUACGACCCGACGCACUUCCUCCCGCCCCAAGGACGCCGCAGCCGGUCGGGUAGCUGCGCGAGUCGGCCAUAAGGACGGGCAGCGGAAGGUGGCCAGUGGCGUUCCUCGUGUUCGUCGCUGGUCGUUGUCCAGCUCGUCCGUGGCGCGACACCCGACCGAGGUCGAUGGGUCCCGGUUAGGACCUUGCCGUCCCCUCCCCUCGUUUGGUCGAGCGGGCGCUCCAGCAGGCGAUUCCCCUUGCGGUCGUCCCACUCUCCGAGUGGCCGGUCCUCGGGUGGCGCAGUUGGCGAGGAAGCGUCCCGCGAUGGGGUUUUCGGAAGGCUUGCGGCGAGUAGGUCGGUCACCCACCCGACCCGUCUUGAAACACGGACCAAGGAGUCUAACAUGUGCGCGAGUCACGGGGUCUUGUUCAGGCCCAGAGGCGCAAUGAAAGUGAAGGUCGGCCUCGACGCCGUCCGUGUUGGGACUCUCCGCCUUUUUCCGGCGGGGAAGCACCAACGACCCGCCCUAUCCGAUUCAUCGGUUGGGCGGAGUGUGAGCGUACACGUUGGGACCCGAAAGAUGGUGAACUAUGCCUGGGCAGGACGAAGCCAGAGGAAACUCUGGUGGAGGUCCGUAGCGGUUCUGACGUGCAAAUCGAUCGUCAGACCUGGGUAUAGG